rnacentral:rRNA from 1 species
UAAUACGAAGGUGGCAAGCGUUGUUCGGAAUCACUGGGCUUAAAGCGCGCGUAGGCGGAAGUUCAAGUGUCCUGUGAAAUCCCCCGGCUUAACCGGGGAACUGCGGGGCAAACUGGAUUUCUUGAGGCAAGUAGGGGUACAUGGAACUCUUAGUGGAGCGGUGGAAUGCGUAGAUAUUAAGAGGAACGCCAAUGGUGAAGACAGUGUACUGGGCUUGUCCUGACGCUGAGGUGCGAAAGCGUGGGGAGCGAACGGGAUUAGAUACCCCGGUAGUCCACGCCGUAAACGAUGUCUACUAGGUUGUGGGGGUUCUGACACCUUCACAGUCGAAGCGAAAGUGCUAAGUAGACCGCCUGGGGAGUACGGUCGCAAGGCUA